UACAGAGGUCUCGAGCGUUAGGCGGAAUCACUGGGCUUAAAGCGUGUGUAGGCGGCGGGCUAAGUACCUUGUGAAAUCCCACGGCUUAACUGUGGAACUGCUGGGUAUACUGGUUCGCUUGAGCGGCCUAGGGGCGAGCGGAACAAAUGGUGGAGCGGUGAAAUGCGUAGAUAUCAUUUGGAACGCCAACGGUGAAAACAGCUCGCUGGGGACCUGCUGACGCUGAGACACGAAAGCCAGGGGAGCGAACGGG
rnacentral:rRNA from 1 species